rnacentral:rRNA from 1 species
GAUGAACGCUGGCGGCGUGCUUAACACAUGCAAGUCGAACGGAAAGGCCCAAGCUUGCUUGGGUACUCGAGUGGCGAACGGGUGAGUAACACGUGGGUGAUCUGCCCUGCACUUCGGGAUAAGCCUGGGAAACUGGGUCUAAUACCGGAUAGGACCACAUUUUGGAUGGUGUGGUGGAAAGUUUUUCGGUGUGGGAUGAGCUCGCGGCCUAUCAGCUUGUUGGUGGGGUAAUGGCCUACCAAGGCGUCGACGGGUAGCCGGCCUGAGAGGGUGUACGGCCGCAUUGGGACUGAGAUACGGCCCAGACUCCUACGGGAGGCAGCAGUGGGGAAUAUUGCACAAUGGGCGCAAGCCUGAUGCAGCGACGCCGCGUGGGGGAUGACGGCCUUCGGGUUGUAAACUCCUUUCGCUAGGGACGAAGCGCAAGUGACGGUACCUGGAGAAGAAGCACCGGCUAACUACGUG